UCUGGUAACUUCAGUUUGUUCUUUCUUUAUAGAUUUCGCACGGGCCCGCUCGCUUGUCGUAGCCGGUCCUCAUAUUGUAUCUUCAAUUAUUACAACGAUCACAAGGCCAUAAGCGGUCUCUCCAAAGUAAUCUUCUCAUCUCUUCGGUAUGAGAGCCAAGUGGCGUAAGAAGCGCAUGCGAAGGCUAAAGCGUAAACGCAGGAAGAUGCGUGCGAGGUCCAAAUAAACUGGGUGCACUGGUGCAGUAGAAGACUUAACAUCUAAAACUCGCUUGUGUAUCAAAUAAAAAAAAAUACAAAAAAAUCAUCUCUUUGUUUUUGUAAU